GUCUCUGUGGCGCAAUCGGCUAGGGCGUUCGGCUGUUAACCGAAAGGUCGGUGGUUCUAGCCCACCCAGGGUCG
rnacentral:tRNA from 1 species